rnacentral:rRNA from 1 species
GCAGUGCGGGGUGCUUACCAUGCAGUCGAACGAUGAUGCCCAGCUUGCUGGGUGGAUUAGUGGCGAACGGGUGAGUAACACGUGAGUAACCUGCCCCUGACUCUGGGAUAAGCGUUGGAAACGACGUCUAAUACUGGAUAUGACUGCCGGCCGCAUGGUCUGGUGGUGGAAAGAUUUUUUGGUUGGGGAUGGACUCGCGGCCUAUCAGCUUGUUGGUGAGGUAAUGGCUCACCAAGGCGACGACGGGUAGCCGGCCUGAGAGGGUGACCGGCCACACUGGGACUGAGACACGGCCCAGACUCCUACGGGAGGCAGCAGUGGGGAAUAUUGCACAAUGGGCGAAAGCCUGAUGCAGCAACGCCGCGUGAGGGAUGACGGCCUUCGGGUUGUAAACCUCUUUUAGUAGGGAAGAAGCGUAAGUGACGGUACCUGCAGAAAAAGCACCGGCUAACUACGUGCCAGCAGCCGCGGUAAUACGUAGGGUGCAAGCGUUGUCCGGAAUUAUUGGGCGUAAAGAGCUCGUAGGCGGUUUGUCGCGUCUGCUGUGAAAUCCCGAGGCUCAACCUCGGGCUUGCAGUGGGUACGGGCAGACUAGAGUGCGGUAGGGGAGAUUGGAAUUCCUGGUGUAGCGGUGGAAUGCGCAGAUAUCAGGAGGAACACCGAUGGCGAAGGCAGAUCUCUGGGCCGUAACUGACGCUGAGGAGCGAAAGCGUGGGGAGCGAACAGGAUUAGAUACCCUGGUAGUCCACGCCGUAAACGUUGGGCGCUAGAUGUAGGGACCUUUCCACGGUUUCUGUGUCGUAGCUAACGCAUUAAGCGCCCCGCCUGGGGAGUACGGCCGCAAGGCUAAAACUCAAAGGAAUUGACGGGGGCCCGCACAAGCGGCGGAGCAUGCGGAUUAAUUCGAUGCAACGCGAAGAACCCUUACCAAGGCUUGACAUACACCGGAAACGGCCAGAGAUGGUUGCCCCCUUGUGGUCGGUGUACAGGUGGUGCAUGGUUGUCGUCAGCUCGUGUCGUGAGAUGUUGGGUUAAGUCCCGCAACGAGCGCAACCCUCGUUCUAUGUUGCCAGCGCGUUAUGGCGGGGACUCAUAGGAGACUGCCGGGGUCAACUCGGAGGAAGGUGGGGAUGACGUCAAAUCAUCAUGCCCCUUAUGUCUUGGGCUUCACGCAUGCUACAAUGGCCGGUACAAAGGGCUGCGAUACCGUAAGGUGGAGCGAAUCCCAAAAAGCCGGUCUCAGUUCGGAUUGAGGUCUGCAACUCGACCUCAUGAAGUCGGAGUCGCUAGUAAUCGCAGAUCAGCAACGCUGCGGUGAAUACGUUCCCGGGCCUUGUACACACCGCCCGUCAAGUCAUGAAAGUCGGUAACACCCGAAGCCGGUGGCCUAACCCUUGUGGAAGGAGCCGUCGAAGUGAUCAGUCCG